ACUCCGGGCACAGCAGCAUGUCUUUGAAAACUACGGAGUUUUUGCAAAAACUAUGUUACAAACGCGCGGCAACUGUGGACAUGACGCAAUAUGGUUUUAUUAGCGACAGCAAAGUACAAACUGUGAAUUUAUUAAUGAAACCAUUGAGAGAAAAGCUGGUGAUGAUAUGUGACAGACUAGUGGAUACCUACCACAGCGGGAAGCGUCGCCGGUAUAUGACGUAGUCCACCGGCUAUGCGCUGAAGUCCGCCUGUGUUGCUGCUAAUUGGAAGGAACGUACGCAGGUACACGCCCACGGUUGGUACCGUAACUAAUGGGACAACCUAAUGGCAAAUCCAGAAGAAAAUCAGUCACUAAACCAGGUACUUCAACUUGCAAUAUCAGUUGUAUAAUGCCUUUACGUAUCCAUGAAUUGAUAAAGUCAAGAAGAAUGCAAAGUAAAAACAGUAAACGAAGAGGCAGGUAGCAUAAAUACACAACGCCUUCUUAUCAAGUCGCCAAGAAAUUUUAUAUACAACGAAAUAGAUGAAUACUUGAGUGUCAAUUGUUA